UACGUAGGUGGCCAGCGUUGUCCGGAUUUACUGGGCGUAAAGAGCGCGCAGGCGGUCGUUCAAGUCGAGUGUGAAAGCCCCCGGCUCAACUGGGGAGGGUCAUUCGAUACUGAUCGACUUGAAGGCAGGAGAGGGAAGUGGAAUUCCCGGUGUAGUGGUGAAAUGCGUAGAUAUCGGGAGGAACACCAGUGGCGAAGGCGACUUCCUGGCCUGUUCUUGACGCUGAGGCGCGAAAGCUAGGGGAGCAAACGGG
rnacentral:rRNA from 1 species